ensembl:lncRNA
GAGCUGUACCCACUGUCCCUAUAGUAUCUUUGUAUCUAUCCUCCUGAGUCCUGGAGAGUAGAGAACAGGAGCUCCUACCAGAUCAGCUUCAACUUAAACCAUGUUUUCUUUAUCUUUGUUGCUGCUGACAGCUAGUGUUUGUGUUCAGGGUCAGACAUUGACUGAGUCUGAACCAGUGGUUACAAGCCUGGGGAAUUACACCAACUGACCUGUACAGGCUCUGGGUUCACAUUCAGUAGCUCCUGGAUGGGUUGUGAGAGAUUAUGGGCAUUGGAAACUUAACACGACGCAUAAGUGCUGACUAACUCUGAACAAAGGACAAUAGAUAGGACGUGAUGCUCGUUACUGAUGGGACCUACACAUCCUAUCCAUACAUCCUCUCCAUACCACCUGAUUGGAGUUGUCCAUGUGACUGCCAUAGGCUCUGUAAAUAAGCCCAUAGACCAUAGGUUGGAACAUACCAUAAAAUUAUAUUUUGUAGGAAAAACCUUUCUUAUUGGAAGAAAAUGGACAGUGUAACAGUUGGCUAUAACCACUGACUGCCUGGCAUAAACGACUGUGUUAACUUUGUAAUCAUUGGAGAACAUGUAAGAACUAUGGAAGAUCAACAUCUUGGACUCAUACAAAUAAAGAAAGUUCUCCCCUGGCUUCCAGUUGAAUUCAUUUUGUUCAUGGAUCAAAAGUGGACAGAAUUCAACAGUUGGAUCAAACAGGUUUCUGGAAAAGCACUUGAAUGGAUUGUUUAUAUACAUGGUACCACAGUUAACUUCUCCCCCUUCAGAUGAGCAGCCUAAAGAAUAAGGACACAGCCAUUUAUUACUGUGCCAUAGAGUGACACAGAGAUAACAUACCUGUUUAAUAAGAUGGGUUAAUCCAGUUGAUACCCCAAACAGAGGUAGCUGCAGUGAAAAUGCUAUGUCAUAUUUUGUCCUUGAUCCAUAACUAGAAAAUUAUUCAUGUCUAACAUUGUCAGUGUAUGUACAUCCAGGAAUUCUAUGAACUGCAUUUGCUGAAAUGUUUAGUUUAUGAAGUUCAUUUACAAAGAUGACCUUAUUAGGGCCUUCAGGUUACAAUGUUUGUGUCCAGUAACAAAGUUGUAUCCAGUUUAUAUCUAUUUACUACCCAAUCAAUG